rnacentral:rRNA from 1 species
AUUGAACGCUGGCGGCAGGCCUAACACAUGCAAGUCGGACGGUAGCACAGGGGAGCUUGCUCCUCGGGUGACGAGUGGCGGACGGGUGAGUAAUGUCUGGGGAUCUGCCCGAUAGAGGGGGAUAACCACUGGAAACGGUGGCUAAUACCGCAUAAUGUCGCAAGACCAAAGAGGGGGACCUUCGGGCCUCUCACUAUCGGAUGAACCCAGAUGGGAUUAGCUAGUAGGCGAGGUGACGGCCCACCUAAGCGACGAUCCCUAGCUGGUCUGAGAGGAUGACCAGCCACACUGGAACUGAGACACGGUCCAGACUCCUACGGGAGGCAGCAGUGGGGAAUAUUGCACAAUGGGCGCAAGCCUGAUGCAGCCAUGCCGCGCGUAUGAAGAAGGCCUUCGGGUUGUAAAGUACUUUCAGCGGGGAGGAAGGCGAUGUGGUUAAUACCCAAGAUGAGUGGACGUUACUCGCAGAAUAAGCACCGGCUAACUCUGUGCCAGCCGCCGCAGUAA